CUCGCAGAAGAAGUCAUUCGUUCUUUCAAGAUGGCCGAACAACAAGUUGAAACAGCGGAUUCACAAUGUACAGGUGCAAUGGGGUGUGUUGCAAAUCGCCACAUUUCCACUGCUGCUACUGUGGGGAGUUCAGAACCCAGCCCACUAUUAUGAAUCAUGUUCAGAAGUGCGCAGUGGCAGCCUGCAGCGUUGGAUCGCUUCGCCAGACCGCCACUGUCUCCUCCUCAGCCUACCCUGUCACCUCUGCAGCCUCCCAAAUUGCCACAGCAUCUGUAGCCUCCACUCCACUCCAAGCCAUCAGUCGCAGCAAAGUAGUCCAGUCAAGGGCCAAAAGGACAACAUGCCCUUUGUGUAAAACUGAAUUAUAUAUGAAAAACCUCAAGACCCACAUGGAUCGACGUCACUCAUCAUCUGUUCCUGAUAUUACUUCUAAUCACCAUCUUCCAUCCCAAUGCUUAGACCUCAAAAAGGGCAUUUUUGCUGUUGGAAGAACAUUUUCUGGGCUGAGAAACCCCAUUCAUGUACAGAAGUUCACCUGGGGAAACAGCCACCAAGUUGUUUGUGAACUUGAAAAUUGCAAGCAGGCAUCAGAAUUUUCCAGAAGAAGUAACUUAUUAGGGUUUGAGUGUAUUCAUGUUAGGUCUCUGAUAUACUGUCCUACUUCAUCCAAACCAGACGUCACACUGAAGGAGGAAGUUCUGUCAGAUAUGGUUGGGAAGAAAUGGAUUUCUGACAACACAAAAAGAAUGUGUCUAGUCAGAAAGGAGAAAGCUAAGUCUGAAAACAGCCCACUGAGUAAAGUAGUGACAUUUUGCAGUGGCGCAUCAAGAGUUUGUGUCAGUACUUGAAACAUGCACCUCAUAAUAUUCGCGGUUAGGGAGAGUGUCUGUAUGUUAUGACGUAAAAAUAAAUGCUUGGCAGUGUCCAUGCUCAAAGCCAAAUAAUUCCUGUGCUCAUAAGUCCAUAGCAAAAUGGCACUUGAAUCAGACCCGACCUGAACUCUUCCUAAAGGUCUGAAGUACAGACAGUGAUGUGUUUGAGACCUUUGUUGAAUCUGUUCCUGAAGGCCACAGUACUGAGGACAUUCUCUAUCCACCUGAGGGAGCCGCUUUGACAUCACUUGUUCUUUACUUGUUGGACCACAAGAAAUUGCCAGCUGUUCUGUCAACGGAUGCAUGUUCACCGCAGAACAUGGAGACACUGCCAAAGCGCCUCAUACCUCUUGAGAACUUUUGCACUGUUUGCCCAGGAAAAAUUCCUCUGUUGGAUUCUGCAGCAUUGACUGUUUUUAUGAUGCUGGAGGCACCUUCCAUGAAAAUGGCUGAUGGGGUUAAUAAUAAUUAGAACAGCCAAUAAAAUGUUUGUUUAAUAAAGACUUUCCUCUUUGUAUGUACUGUA